GACGAACGCUGGCGGCGUGCCUAAUACAUGCAAGUAGAACGCUGAAGGAGGAGCUUGCUUCUCCGGAUGAGUUGCGAACGGGUGAGUAACGCGUAGGUAACCUGCCUGUAGCGGGGGAUAACUAUUGGAAACGAUAGCUAAUACCGCAUAAGAGUAGAUGUCGCAUGACAUUUGCUUAAAAGGUGCAACUGCACCACUACCAGAUGGACCUGCGUUGUAUUAGCUAGUUGGUGAGGUAACGGCUCACCAAGGCAACGAUACAUAGCCGACCUGAGAGGGUGAUCGGCCACACUGGGACUGAGACACGGCCCAGACUCCUACGGGAGGCAGCAGUAGGGAAUCUUCGGCAAUGGACGGAAGUCUGACCGAGCAACGCCGCGUGAGUGAAGAAGGUUUUCGGAUCGUAAAGCUCUGUUGUAAGAGAAGAACGAGUGUGAGAGUGGAAAGUUCACACUGUGACGGUAUCUUACCAGAAAGGGACGGCUAACUACGUG
rnacentral:rRNA from 1 species